UAUCCGUUGGUGAACCAGCGGAGGGAUCAUUACAGGACUCGCAAGACUCCUACAACCCUGUGAACUUAACUAUAAGCACGUUGCUUCGGCGGGUGUCUCGGAGGGGGUUCUCCCUCCCCGAGACGCUAAACCCGCCGGCAGCCUACUAUACUCUGUCUCUUUGCGUUGGCAUCUCGAGUACAAUCAAACAAGUUAAAACUUUCAACAACGGAUCUCUUGGCUCUG
rnacentral:misc_RNA from 1 species